GUAGGGUGCAAGCGUUAUCCGGAAUCAUUGGGCGUAAAGAGCUCGUAGGCGGUUCAGCAAGUCGGCUGUGAAAUCCCGAGGCUUAACCUCGGAACUGCAGUCGAUACUGCUGUGACUAGAGUCCGGUAGAGGAGAAUGGAAUUCCCGGUGUGGCGGUGAAAUGCGCAGAUAUCGGGAGGAACACCAGUAGCGAAGGCGGUUCUCUGGGCCGGUACUGACGCUGAGGAGCGAAAGCGUGGGGGUAGCAAACAGGAUUAGAUACCCUGGUAGUCCACGCCGUAAACGUUGGACACUAGGUGUGGCGUUCCGACCAACGGGUGCCGUGCCGAAGCUAACGCAUUAAGUGUCCCCGCCUGGGAGUACGGCCGCAAGGCUA
rnacentral:rRNA from 1 species